rnacentral:rRNA from 1 species
UACAGAGGUCUCAAGCGUUGUUCGGAUUCAUUGGGCGUAAAGGGUGCGUAGGCGGCGCGGUAAGUCGGGCGUGAAAUCUCGGAGCUUAACUCCGAAACUGCAUUCGAUACUGCCGUGCUUGAGGACUGGAGAGGAGACUGGAAUUUACGGUGUAGCGGUGAAAUGCGUAGAUAUCGUAAGGAAGACCAGUGGCGAAGGCGAGUUUCUGGACAGUUACUGACGCUGAGGCACGAAGGCCAGGGGAGCAAACGGG